rnacentral:rRNA from 1 species
ACUCCUACGGGAGGCAGCAGUGGGGAAUAUUGCACAAUGGGCGCAAGCCUGAUGCAGCCAUGCCGCGUGUAUGAAGAAGGCCUUCGGGUUGUAAAGUACUUUCAGCGGGGAGGAAGGCGAUAAGGUUAAUAACCUUGUCGAUUGACGUUACCCGCAGAAGAAGCACCGGCUAACUCCGUGCCAGCAGCCGCGGUAAUACGGAGGGUGCAAGCGUUAAUCGGAAUUACUGGGCGUAAAGCGCACGCAGGCGGUCUGUCAAGUCGGAUGUGAAAUCCCCGGGCUCAACCUGGGAACUGCAUUCGAAACUGGCAGGCUAGAGUCUUGUAGAGGGGGUAGAAUUCCAGGUGUAGCGGUGAAAUGCGUAGAGAUCUGGAGGAAUACCGGUGGCGAAGGCGGCCCCCUGGACAAAGACUGACGCUCAGGUGCGAAAGCGUGGGGAGCAAACAGGAUUAGAAACCCCAGUAGUCCCAUGA